UACGGAGGGAGCUAGCGUUGUUCGGAAUUACUGGGCGUAAAGCGCGCGUAGGCGGCUUUGUAAGUUAGAGGUGAAAGCCCGGGGCUCAACCCCGGAACUGCCUUUAAAACUGCAUCGCUUGAAUCCGGGAGAGGUGAGUGGAAUUCCGAGUGUAGAGGUGAAAUUCGUAGAUAUCGAGAGGAACACCGGUGGCGAAGGCGGCCUUCUGGACAGUGACUGACGCUGAGACGCGAAAGCGUGGGGAGCAAACAGG
rnacentral:rRNA from 1 species